rfam:Triticum aestivum genome assembly, contig: Triticum_aestivum_CS42_TGACv1_scaffold_223247_3B
CAAAUACUCCCUCCGUCCGGGAAUACUUGUCUUCGAAAUGGUUGUAUCUAGACUUAUUUUAGUUAUAGAUACAUCUAUUUUAUCCAUUUCUAGGACAAGUAUUUCCGGACGGAGGGAGUACCUG